rnacentral:rRNA from 1 species
AUUGAACGCUGGCGGCAGGCCUAACACAUGCAAGUCGAGCGGCAGCGGGAAAGUAGCUUGCUACUUUUGCCGGCGAGCGGCGGACGGGUGAGUAAUGCCUGGGAAAUUGCCCAGUCGAGGGGGAUAACAGUUGGAAACGACUGCUAAUACCGCAUACGCCCUACGGGGGAAAGCAGGGGACCUUCGGGCCUUGCGCGAUUGGAUAUGCCCAGGUGGGAUUAGCUAGUUGGUGAGGUAAUGGCUCACCAAGGCGACGAUCCCUAGCUGGUCUGGGAGGAUGAUCAGCCACACUGGAACUGAGACACGGUCCAGACUCCUACGGGAGGCAGCAGUGGGGAAUAUUGCACAAUGGGGGAAACCCUGAUGCAGCCAUGCCGCGUGUGUGAAGAAGGCCUUCGGGUUGUAAAGCACUUUCAGCGAGGAGGAAAGGUUGAUGCCUAAUACGUAUCAACUGUGACGUUACUCGCAGAAGAAGCACCGGCUAACUCCGUGCCAGCCGCCCGCGGUAA